rnacentral:rRNA from 1 species
UGAGGAAUAUUGGUCAAUGGGCGAGAGCCUGAACCAGCCAUGCCGCGUGCAGGAAGACGGUCCUAUGGAUUGUAAACUGCUUUUAUUUGGGAAUAAACUCCGAUACGUGUAUCGGCCUGAAGGUACCAAAUGAAUAAGCACCGGCUAACUCCGUGCCAGCAGCCGCGGUAAUACGGAGGGUGCAAGCGUUAUCCGGAAUCAUUGGGUUUAAAGGGUCCGCAGGCGGAUUUAUAAGUCAGUGGUGAAAGCCCGUUGCUUAACAACGGAACUGCCAUUGAUACUGUAAGUCUUGAAUUCGAUCGAAGUGGGCGGAAUAUGACAUGUAGCGGUGAAAUGCUUAGAUAUGUCAUAGAACACCGAUAGCGAAGGCAGCUCACUAGGUCUGGAUUGACGCUCAGGG